AUCUAAGUACCCCGAGGAAAAGAAAUCAACCGAGAUUCCGAAAGUAGCGGCGAGCGAAAUUGGACUAGCCCUUAAGCUUUACACGCGUUAGACGAACAGCCUGGAAAGGCCGACGAUACAGGGUGAUAGUCCCGUAGUUGACGACGUGUGUUCAGUGAAAUCGAGUAGGGCGGGACACGUGAUAUCCUGUCUGAAUAUGGGGGGACCAUCCUCCAAGGCUAAAUACUACUGACUGACCGAUAGUGAACCAGUACCGUGAGGGAAAGGCGAAAAGAACCCCUGUGAGGGGAGUGAAAUAGAACCUGAAACCGUGUACGUACAAGCAGUAGGAGCAGGCUUGUCCUGUGACUGCGUACCUUUUGUAUAAUGGGUCAGCGACUUAUAUUCAGUGGCAAGGUUAACCAUCUAGGGGAGCCGUAGGGAAACCGAGUCUUAACUGGGCGUUCAGUCUCUGGAUAUAGACCCGAAACCAGGUGAUCUAGCCAUGGGCAGGUUGAAGGUUGAGUAACAUCAACUGGAGGACCGAACCGACUAAUGUUGAAAAAUUAGCGGAUGACUUGUGGCUAGGGGUGAAAGGCCAAUCAAACCUGGAGAUAGCUGGUUCUCCCCGAAAGCUAUUUAGGUAGCGCCUCGGACGAAUACUACUGGGGGUAGAGCACUGUUAAGGCUAGGGGGUCAUCCCGACUUACCAACCCUUUGCAAACUCCGAAUACCAGUAAGUACUAUCCGGGAGACACACGGCGGGUGCUAACGUCCGUCGUGGAGAGGGAAACAACCCAGACCGCCAGCUAAGGUCCCAAAUUACUACUAAGUGGGAAACGAUGUGGGAAGGCUCAGACAGCCAGGAUGUUGGCUUAGAAGCAGCCAUCAUUUAAAGAAAGCGUAAUAGCUCACUGGUCGAGUCGGCCUGCGCGGAAGAUGUAACGGGGCUAAGUA
rnacentral:rRNA from 1 species